AGUUGCCAGCUCCGGUCCUCCCGGGGAGUGGUGGGGGACGACUGUUGGGGCCGCCUCUGCUAAGAGGAGGAAGGAAGUGGGCAACGGUAGGUCAGCAUGCCCCGAAUUAUCUGGGCUACACGCGGGCUACAAUGGGUGGGACAAUGGGUAUCGACACCGAAAGGUGAAGGCAAUCUCCUAAACCCAUCCGUAGUUCGGAUUGUGGGCUGCAACUCGCCCACAUGAAGCUGGAAUCUGUAGUAAUCGUGUCUCAAAAUGGCACGGUGAAUAUGUCCCUGCUCCUU
rnacentral:rRNA from 1 species